CUACGAGAGGCUGCAGUAGGGAAUCUUAGACAAUGGGGGAAACCCUGAUCUAGCCAUGCCGCGUGAGUGAUGAAGGCCUUAGGGUUGUAAAGCUCUUUCGCUGGGGAAGAUAAUGACGGUACCCAGUAAAGAAACCCCGGCUAACUCCGUGCCAGCAGCCGCGGUAAUACGGAGGGGGUUAGCGUUGUUCGGAAUUACUGGGCGUAAAGCGCGCGUAGGCGGGCUAUUAAGUCAGGGGUGAAAUCCCGGGGCUCAACCCCGGAACUGCCUUUGAUACUGGUAGUCUUGAGUUCGAGAGAGGUGAGUGGAAUUCCGAGUGUAGAGGUGAAAUUCGUAGAUAUUCGGAGGAACAUCAGUGGCGAAGGCGACUCACUGGCUCGAUACUGACGCUGAGGUGCGAAAGUGUGGGGAGCAAACAGGAUUAGAUACCCUUGUAGUC
rnacentral:rRNA from 1 species